UUCCACAGCUUUCUUGAACUGCAUGGUAAUCUAAUCUAAUACAGAUAAAAUUAAGCUUGUUCUUCAAGUACAUGGUGCCAUGGUGGUAUAUCGCCUUUGCGGUUCAAUAAAGCUGUGGGAAA
rnacentral:pre_miRNA from 1 species